GCCUUCAUAGCUCAGUGGUAGAGCGUUGGUCUCGUAAGAUUCAACAGAUAACCAAAGGCCGAGAGUUCAAUCCUCUCUGAAGGCA
rnacentral:tRNA from 1 species